UACGAAGGGGGCUAGCGUUGCUCGGCAUCACUGGGCGUAAAGCGCACGUAGGCGGCUCUUUAAGUCAGGGGUGAAAUCCUGGAGCUCAACUCCAGAACUGCCUUUGAUACUGGGGAUCUCGAGUCCGGGAGAGGUGAGUGGAACUGCGAGUGUAGAGGUGAAAUUCGUAGAUAUUCGCAAGAACACCAGUGGCGAAGGCGGCUCACUGGUCCGGUACUGACGCUGAGGUGCGAAAGCGUGGGGAGCAAACAGG
rnacentral:rRNA from 1 species